UACGGAAGGCAGCAGUGGGGAAUAUUGCACAAUGGGCGAAAGCCUGAUGCAGCUAUGCCGCGUGUAUGAAGAAGGCCUUAGGGUUGUAAAGUACUUUCAUCGGGGAGGAAAAAACAAAACUAAUAAUUUUAUUUCUUGACGUUACCCGAAAAAGAAGCACCGGCUAACUCCGUGCCAGCAGCCGCGGUAAUACGGAGGGUGCUAGCGUUAAUCAGAAUUACUGGGCGUAAAGAGCACGUAGGUGGUUUUUUUAAGUCAGAUGUGAAAUCCCUGGGCUUAACCUAGGAACUGCAUUUUGAAACUGAAAUACUAGAGUAUCGUAGAGGGAGGUAGAAUUCUAGGUGUAGCGGUGAAAUGCGUAGAUAUCUGGAGGAAUACCUGUGGCGAAAGCGGCCUCCUAAACGAAUACUGACACUGAGGGUGCGAAAGCGUGGGGAGCGAAACAGGGAUUAGAUACC
rnacentral:rRNA from 1 species